GUGUCAGCCGCCGCGGUAAUACGUAGGGUGCGAGCGUUGUCCGGAAUUACUGGGCGUAAAGAGCUCGUAGGCGGUUUGUCACGUCGUCUGUGAAAUUCUGCAACUCAAUUGCAGGCGUGCAGGCGAUACGGGCAGACUUGAGUACUACAGGGGAGACUGGAAUUCCUGGUGUAGCGGUGAAAUGCGCAGAUAUCAGGAGGAACACCGGUGGCGAAGGCGGGUCUCUGGGUAGUAACUGACGCUGAGGAGCGAAAGCGUGGGGAGCAAACAGGAUUAGAUACCCUGGUAGUCCACGCCGUAAACGGUGGGUACUAGGUGUGGGGCUCAUUUCACGAGUUCCGUGCCGUAGCUAACGCAUUAAGUACUCCGCCUGGGGAGUACGUGCGCAAGCAUGAAACUCAAAUGAAUUGACGG
rnacentral:rRNA from 1 species